AUACGUAGGGGGCGAGCGUUGUCCGGAAUGAUUGGGCGUAAAGGGCGCGUAGGCGGCCCGGUAAGUCUGGAGUGAAAGUCCUGUUUUUAAGAUGGGAAUUGCUUUGGAUACUGUCGGGCUUGAGUGCAGGAGAGGUAAGUGGAAUUCCCAGUGUAGCGGUGAAAUGCGUAGAGAUUGGGAGGAACACCAGUGGCGAAGGCGACGUACUGGACUGUAACUGACGCUGAGGCGCGAAAGUGUGGGGAGCAAACAGGAUUAGAUACCCUGGUAGUCCACACUGUAAACGAUGAAUGCUAGGUGUAGGGGGUAUCGACCCCUUCUGUGCCGCAGUCAACACAAUAAGCAUUCCGCCUGGGGAGUACGGCCGCAAGGUUGAAACUCAAAGGAAUUGACGGGG
rnacentral:rRNA from 1 species